UCCGGUUUGUCACCGGCAGUCUCCCUAGAGUUCCCGGCCGAACCGCCAUGUCAAGGGCUGGUAAGGUUCUGCGCGUUGCGUCGAAUUAAACCACAUGCUCCACCGCUUGUGCGGGCCCCCGUCAAUUCCUUUGAGUUUUAACCUUGCGGCCGUACUCCCCAGGCGGUGGGCUUAAUGCGUUAGCUGCGACACCGAGGGGCAUGCCCCCCAACGUCUAGCCCACAUCGUUUAGGGCGUGGACUAC
rnacentral:misc_RNA from 1 species